AAUCCCCUGCCGUGUUCGUUGAAAUCGUAGAUUCCUUGGACCAAUGUCGAGAGACACGGUUGCGGACCAUCGACCCGCUGGUGUGCACGCCCCUUGACGGGUGAGCCUGAAGCGGCAGGAAAGCGACCACCCUGAACCACAGGUUCAGGAUGCCCGGUGGAAACGGCACAGGCGGGGGGCCA
rnacentral:other from 1 species